rnacentral:rRNA from 1 species
GACGAACGCUGGCGGCGUGCCUAAUACAUGCAAGUAGAACGCAGUUGCGAACGGGUGAGUAACGCGUAGGUAACUGCCUCAUAGCGGGGGAUAACUAUUGGAAACGAUAGCUAAUACCGCAUACUGUGAGAUGGACCUGCGUUGUAUUAGGUAGUUGGUGAGGUAAAGGCUCACCAAGGCGACGAGACAAAGCCGACCUGAGAGGGUGAUCGGCAAAACUUGGACUGGAACAAGGGCCAGACUCCUUCGGGAGGCAGGAAUAGGGAAACCUCGGGAAAGGACGGAAAGCCUACCCGGGAACCCCGCGUGAGGUAAAAAAGUUUUCGGGUCGGAAAGCCUUGGUUGUAGAAAAGCGGUAACUAACCAGAAAGGGACGGCUAACUACGUGCCAGCAGCCGCGGUAAUAC